UUUGUGUCUGAAAACUGUAUGAAAUAUGUAUAUAACUGUAUAAAAUUUAUAGAAAAUUUAAUACAAUUACAAUAACAUUGUAUAGAACUUUCAUACACUAUUAAUACAAAUGUUUAUUCUUGUUAAAUGUACAGAGAAUUAACCCUAGCUAAAUUUACGCCUCUAUUUCUCUGAUUUGUUGAGUAGUGUGUCUCUAAUAUGGUAGAUCUACUGCUAUUGUGUGCAAUGAAUACAAUAGAAGUGGGAAGAAUUACUUUUUUGAUUCAUUUUACCCAUGGUGGCCUAACAAGCACCAGAUAACAACAAAUUUCAAAUAAAUUUCAUUUAGUGAUCCUCCAUGUUUGAAGCCCAAUCUGCAGGGAGGCAGCAAUGUACCAAGGUUCAGAAGACAACAAUCGUGCCAUGUCGAGUUCAAUUUCAGAAGACAACACCGCAAUCACCGUUCUUAAAUCAGUAGAUCUAAUGGAGAAUUUCAGUGGUUCCGAAUUCUCCCUGCUAAUCUCCACCAUCGUUUCUCCUCUCGGUUGCCCCCUCCGCUAGCCGCCACACUUUCGCCAUCAACUUCCUCCGUCAUCUCCAUGUUUCCGACACUUCUUCUCUCCUUCGCUGUCAACCUCCCCCGCUCAAAAAAAAAGGGAGGGAGGGGGGGGGGGCGGAGAUCAAGAAAGAUGUCCACCUCCAUUAUUUUUUUUCCAGAUCUGGUGUGUGAACAGAAGGGGAGGGAAGAGUGAGCUUUUAAUUGGUCAGAUCCGUUAUAUGUUGUAAUUUUGAUGGUAUAUUUUGUAAAUAAGAAAAAAUAUCUUUAUAUUUUGUAAUACAAAGUCUUAAGUUAUAUUAUUAGGUUAUUUUUCUUUCUUAGGGAAAUAAUAUAGUUGGUAAUAGUACACAGAAAGAGGUAACCAAUGAUGAUGGUGUACGUCAAAUAUUUUGUUUGUCUCUCUAUCUAAGAUCAAUUAAAGGCAAUUGCCAGAAAAAGAGGCCCACUUUUGUAGUCUCAUUGAUGAAUCAUGAUGGACUCAUGGGCUCCACUGGAUUCAUUUUUUAUUUGGGUCAAGUGAAAAUGGAUAGCUCAAGGAAAAGUUUUAUGGUGUAUGAGAUAUGCCACGUAAUAUUUGUGUGAGGGGCUCAUCAAGUGACAAGUGGACUGUGGGCCUCUUGCUAACAAUAGAAUCCAGAAGAGAGAGAAAUAGAUUAAUUCCUAUAAAAUUGACAUGGUCCCAGCAGAUUUGUCCUAAAUAAAAAUAUAAUAAAUUGAGGGCUCCACAUUCUAUUUAUUGCUCGUUCAUUCCGAAGACAAAAGGAAAUGACUUUUCUUCUUCAGCCAAGAUUCCAUCGUUCUUCCUUCUUAACUGAAAACAAUGGAAAUUCUGUUCCAACUAAUUUUUUCCAAAAUUAAAAUUACAUGUCCAGUCAUAGUAAAUUAAACAUGCAAAUUCUUUGAAGAUUGGUGUUCAGUUUUGUUGUCAUUCUUGUUGAUAUUAAAAGAAAAAGUUGACAUCUGAUGCUAAAAAAGAAUCAAAAAUUAGUUCCAGAUAUUGAUUUUUUCUGUCUAAAUCAAGCUCAAUUACUUGGAUCUUCUCCUGCCACUUCCAUUUACUCAUGAUUUCCAGGAUCUUCUAAAAAAGUUAUGAAGGUCAUGCAUGACAAUAAUGAAUGACAUACAAAAGUGCUCCACAUCAGUGAGCAUUAAAUGAUUUUGCACAAAAAUAAGCAACAUUUUGCUUCCAAGUUGUGUAUAAAAUACUCUAUCCUGAUGGUAUAUAUGUACCAAAAUAAGAUUCAGCUCUUCAUUUUCUUAUUUAAAAUUUGGCAACAGAAUGUGAUUGUAGAUUGAAGAGAAAAAAAGAGAAGAAAUAAGUUCAUAGAUUUAUACAUUUAGAAGAGAGUUUUCUGUAACUUUACUUGACUUUUGGAUAUCUCUUUGAGAGUGCACUGAUCAGCAAUGGUGUAUUUUUCUUUGUGAAAUUUACUUUACUUGAUUCAGUUGUGAUCUACAAAGAUCCCAAAUAAAAGGAGGGAAAAUAGUAUCUUGUUCCCUCCAUUUCUGUUGUGCGUA